rnacentral:rRNA from 1 species
UGCCCUUCAGAGGGGGACAACAGUUGGAAACGACUGCUAAUACCGCAUACGAUCCAAUCUCGGCAUCGAGACUGGAUGAAAGGUGGCCUCUAUUUAUAAGCUAUCACUGAAGGAGGGGAUUGCGUCUGAUUAGCUAGUUGGAGGGGUAACGGCCCACCAAGGCGAUGAUCAGUAGCCGGUCUGAGAGGAUGAACGGCCACAUUGGGACUGAGACACGGCCCAGACUCCUACGGGAGGCAGCAUG